UCAGCUUUACUUUCUUGCUGGGACUGAGCUGCAGUUUUGGCGGAGCUGACCCGGAGCCCAGCUGCCCUGGAGCCCAGGCCCAGGUGAGGGUGGUGGGACACUCAACCGCGCCCCACCCGCGGUGGCUUCUAUUAGUCUUCUUAAGUGUUUCUUAAUAACCUGUGGGCUCCGACAAAGCUCGCUGGCAUCACGCUUGUGGCUGAACUGGAUCUGGGAUUUGCCAGGGCUUUGGCGUCUGAUUGACACCUGGCAGAGUGGACGCAGACAGGAGGGUUGGUCUCCUUAGUACUUUUUGGAGCUUCAGCUUCUGGACAGCACAGGCCUGUCCAGGCAGACAGGAGCCCGGCUGCUUCAGGACCUGCUGGGAGGUGCCACCGCGGGAGUAAAAGGUGCUGUUCUGAGAACCAGCCAUGGUUUGUGCAUUUUGGUCUGAUGUAUCUUCAGGAGGCCAUGCCAUGUGCAAGUGCUGUCAUUCCUCUGCUCACCAAGUGGAUGAUAGAGAAAAAUAAUACUGCAGCUUAAAGCAUUCCAAAGAACACUUCAUAAUCCGGAUAGAGACUACAGAUAACAUUAUUUGACAAGGAUCUGAAUAGUGUAGACCUGGACAUGGCCAAUAAGGGAAAGACCUCCUUUUGAUGAAAACGAAGAACUGUAAAAGGUUGUGAUUUCUGCAAUAUCUGAGUGACUUGGGGUUGCUUUCUACAACUGAUCCUGGUCAAUGAGUCACGAUCUUGAUUCCAAACCACCUGUAUUAGGCCAUAUACUUCUCAAAACUAAGAAUGAUUAUUUAUUUUAGUAGAAUAUGUACCUCACAUUCCUCAUCUUUAUUUUAUACCCUUUUUAUUGCAACCAACAUAUAAAAUCUCUGGUAACUGUCACAAGCAGGCCGGCCUACCUUGGUGGUCAUAUUUAGGAUGCUAGAGACUUCUAUAAGUCUUUUCUGUGUAAAAUGCUUGCAGGUCUUCGAAAUAGCUGCCUGCACAUUAGCUCCCCUGUGCAGUGACUUCUUAUACACGAUGAGGUUUAAAACUCCAUCUUUAUGCUUAACUUAUUAUAGUGUUAUAUGCUGCUUCCUUGUUUCCUUUUUAGGUUGUGGACUCAUCAAGUAAAAGAAGGUCUCAUUUUUUAUUUCCCUAUCACCAUAAACAAGGCCUGGCCCAGAGUUAAAUAAAUGUAAUAUGACAAAGUGGUUAAAAGAAUUCAUUUUUGAGUCAGUCUGACUUGUGUCCCCAUCCUGGCUCUAAAUAUGUAAGCUGUAAAAUAUUGACCAGAUAAAUUAAUCUAAAUG